rnacentral:tRNA from 1 species
GAGUGGUGAAAAGGUAUCACAGUUGUUUCAUAUGCAACAGUUGGAAGUUCGACUCUUCCCUCUCGCCA